rnacentral:rRNA from 1 species
GACGAACGCUGGCGGCGUGCUUAACACAUGCAAGUCGAACGAUGAAGCCUAGCUUGCUAGGUGGAUUAGUGGCGAACGGGUGAGUAAUACGUGAGUGACCUACCUUUGACUCUGGGAUAAGCCUGGGAAACUGGGUCUAAUACCGGAUACGACCAAUCUCCGCAUGGGGUGUUGGUGGAAAGCGUUAUGGAGUGGUUUUAGAUGGGCUCACGGCCUAUCAGCUUGUUGGUGAGGUAAUGGCUUACCAAGGCGACGACGGGUAGCCGGCCUGAGAGGGUGACCGGCCACACUGGGACUGAGACACGGCCCAGACUCCUACGGGAGGCAGCAGUGGGGAAUAUUGCACAAUGGGCGCAAGCCUGAUGCAGCGACGCCGCGUGAGGGAUGACGGCCUUUCGGGUUGUAAACCUCUGUUAGCAUCGAAGAAGCGAAAGUGACGGUAGUGCAGAGA